rnacentral:rRNA from 1 species
AUGCGCCUGCUAACCAGGGGAUCAAGAUGCCCCGCGCCUUCGUCCGCGGACCGCCGUGGCCGCUCCCCGCCACCUUCGCCGCGCUCUACAUCUGCUGCCACCAUCGAGCUACGCACCCCUUCCAGUGUGGACAGGUUGCGCAGAGUGGCGCCAUGCUUCGGCGCCAAGAUCACACCAGACUCUGCUUUUUGGUCCCCUUCUCUGACGGUUCAGAACACGGAAGCCCUGGCGGACCCGGAUGCUUCUGUUGAUGCGGCGCCGUUUACCUCGCCCUCGGCUAUCACCCCCGUCUUUCAGGCAGCGGGGGCUGCCUCCAGUGUUGCCUCGCCGUCCCCGGUGGUUGGAACACCGCUGUUUGUUCCGGCCCAGCCUCCUCUCCUUCCUGCACCAAGCUCCAUCGCGCCAAGGGCUCUCAGGAAUCGAAGGAAGACGCUGGCCGGUGUGCAAGGUUUCAACCUGAGUAGGCGUAGCCCCCGGCUACGCGAGAAGAAGCACACCUUGCCCAUUGCGCAGCUCGCCGAGCAACUGCUCUGUCGUCGGCUUGGUAUCGUUGCUGAUGGUGAGCCCAUCACCGAGGCUGCUAUCGGCAAGUUCGUCGACCUCUUCCAUGGCGAGCUCCCUGACAUCGCUGUUGCUGCGCUUCGUGCUCUUUUCCAGCUCGACUGCGACCUUGCAACUGCUGUUGAAGAAGCCUUGAUCGUGCAUGGCGGUGAAGAUGGCCCAGACCUCCAAGACAGUGUUGCUGCUGCUGCAUCAGCCUCUGCCUGA